UGGGGAAUAUUGCGCAAUGGGGGCAACCCUGACGCAGCAACGCCGCGUGCGGGACGACGGCCUUCGGGUUGUAAACCGCUUUCAGCAGGGAAGAUAGUGACGGUACCUGCACAAGAAGCCCCGGCUAACUACGUGCCAGCAGCCGCGGUAAUACGUAGGGGGCGAGCGUUAUCCGGAUUCAUUGGGCGUAAAGCGCGCGCAGGCGGCUCUUCAAGCGGAACCUCUAACCCCGGGGCUCAACCUCGGGCCGGGUUCCGAACUGGAGGGCUCGAGUGCGGUAGAGGCAGGCGGAAUUCCCGGGGUAGCGGUGGAAUGCGCAGAUAUCGGGAAGAACACCGAUGGCGAAGGCAGCCUGCUGGGCCGGCACUGACGCUGAGGCGCGAAAGCUAGGGGAGCGAACAGG
rnacentral:rRNA from 1 species